rnacentral:tRNA from 3 species
GCACCCGUAGCUCAGUUGGUAGAGCACCUGACUCUUAAUCAGGGUGUCCAGGGUUCGAGCCCCUGCGGGUGUACAA